CCUUUUCACUCCAGUUUGCUUCAAAAACAGCUCUGUGAUACAUGGAUGAACUGCAAGAAUGAAGUAACAACGCUAGAGCACACCUAGAGGAUGAGUGGUGCUGGAGUCUUGAAGAAUGGUAAAAGCUUCUACAGCCCUCCACCUUGUUCCUGGGAAGUCCAGGUAUUAACAGUUUGGAGGUUUGCAACAUGACUUUAUUAAAUGAACCUAUUUGGCCAAUGGGACGAAA